rnacentral:tRNA from 1 species
CGUCAGGAUAGCUCAAAUGGCAGAGCAUCAGACUCAUAAUCUGAAAGUUACGGGUUCGAGUCCCGUUCCGACUCC